GAUGAACGCUGGCGGCGUGCUUAACACACGCAAGUCGAACGAAGCACCUUGGACAGAUUCUUCGGAUGAAGUCCUUAGUGACUGAGUGGCGGACGGGUGAGUAACGCGUGGGUAACCUGCCUCAUACAGGGGGAUAACAGUUAGAAAUGGCUGCUAAUACCGCAUAAGCGCACAGUACCGCAUGGUACGGUGUGAAAAACUCCGGUGGUAUGAGAUGGACCCGCGUUGGAUUAGCUAGUUGGCAGGGUAACGGCCUACCAAGGCGACGAUCCAUAGCCGGCCUGAGAGGGUGGACGGCCACAUUGGGACUGAGACACGGCCCAGACUCCUACGGGAGGCAGCAGUGGGGAAUAUUGCACAAUGGGGGAAACCCUGAUGCAGCGACGCCGCGUGAGCGAAGAAGUAUUUCGGUAUGUAAAGCUCUAUCAGCAGGGAAGAA
rnacentral:rRNA from 1 species